UCACAUGGUUCUGUAGGUCACAUGGUGCUGUAGGUCACAUGGUUCUGUAGGUCAUUGAGCUGGGUUCUGUAGGUCACAUGGUUCUGUAGGUCACAUGGUUCUGUAGGUCACAUGGUUCUGAAGGUCACAUGGUUCUGAAGGUCACAUGGUUCUUUAGGUCACAUGGUUCUGUAGGUCACAUGGUUCUGUAGGUCCACAUGGUGUUGUAGGUCCCAUGGUUCUUUAGGUCACAUGGUUCUGUAGGUCACAUGGUUCUGUUGGUCACAUGGUUCUGUAGGUCACAUGGUUCUGUAGGUCACAUGGUUCUGUAGGUCCCACGGUGCUGUAGGUCACAUGGUGCUGCAGGUCACAUGGUUCUGGGGCUCACCGUGUCGGCGUCGAUGUAGAUGGUGGGGCAGUCCGAGCAGGUGGUCAGCAUCUGGGAGGAGCGGAGAAACUUGGAGCCGAUCCCCCGCAGCCCCUCCCCCAGGUAGGUGGCUGCGUCCGUGGUCAGCGUGCAGAACUUCCCCUGGAUGUUCUGGGAGCCAGCAGGACGCCACGUUAAGGCAGUGUGUUUGAUUGGUCCCACUCAAGAACACACGGCUUUGAUAAAACAUAGGAAUGAAAAGCCAUUGCCUUUCCACU
ensembl:lncRNA